GGACUUCAUUAAUUAGGUCUUUCCACCUUUCUUGUGGAAAGACCUAUUGUAUUUGUUCUGAUUUUUUUUUUUUUCUUCCGCCUAAUUUUUUUCUUGCGGUGUAAAAAUGUUUCAAAAGAUGUCGCUUAGUUUUUUUGUAUAUGAUAUCAUUCAGUCUAUACGCUUUUGAAACUGACCCUGUUUAACCGAACACUUUUCUUUGUAAGAGUUAUCUCCCCAAACACUGUUUUUCUUGUUAUCAGAUCUCCUCCGCAACCGUAAAAGAAAGCGACAAAUUUAUUUUUCCAAAUUGCUCGUUAUAUCCUCAGGAUGUUACGUUUUAUUUUCACCGAAGCUUUACGAAGACUCCAUAUGAGAGUUAUUUCCCCUUUUGUAAUGAAAUAAAUGAAAUAAAUUUGUUACUGGAAAACCAUUAGUGAUAGAGGCCUAGGGUCUUUUGAUUUGAGGUCCUAAUGGUCCAAAAAAAUGAAAAUGAGGUCAAGGUCAAAGGUCAAGGUCAUGUUCAAAAAUAUGAUUUUGGCUUGUUAUCUCUUAUUUUCAGAAAUCCUAUAAGAUAUCGACAAAAUAUUUUCACAAAAUGUGUGUUACGACAUGGCGUAACACGUAAAUUUUAGUUAAAAGGGUACGUAAACAUUUGAUGCGACUUUUCCCCCCUUUUAUAUCUUAUAUUAGUUGUAUGGUAAUAUAACUCAUUAUCAUUAUAAAGUA
rnacentral:lncRNA from 1 species